CAAUAGCGUAUAUUAAAGUUGUUGCGGUAAAAAGCUCGUAGUUGGAUUUCUGCUGAGGAUGGGCGGUCCGCUCACUGAGCGUGUAUCUGCUUCAGCCUUGGCAUCCUCUCGUUAAUCGUUUCUGCGCUUGAUUGCGUGGGGCGGGUGGCGGGACUUUUACUUUGAGGAAAUUAGAGUGUUCACGGCAGGCUAUCGCCAGAAUACAUUAGCAUGGAAUAAUACUAUAGGAUCUUGGUCCUAUUUGUUGGUUUCUAGGAUUAAGAUAAUGAUUAAUAGGGAUAGUUGGGGCAUUAGGUACUUAACUGUCAGAGGUGAAAUUCUCCGAUUUGUUAAAGACUAACUUAUGCGAAAGCAUUUGCCA
rnacentral:rRNA from 1 species